GAUGAACGCUGGCGGCGUGCCUAAUACAUGCAAGUCGAGCGAACGGACGAGAAGCUUGCUUCUCUGAUGUUAGCGGCGGACGGGUGAGUAACACGUGGAUAACCUACCUAUAAGACUGGGAUAACUUCGGGAAACCGGAGCUAAUACCGGAUAAUAUUUUGAACCGCAUGGUUCAAAAGUGAAAGACGGUCUUGCUGUCACUUAUAGAUGGAUCCGCGCUGCAUUAGCUAGUUGGUAAGGUAACGGCUUACCAAGGCAACGAUGCAUAGCCGACCUGAGAGGGUGAUCGGCCACACUGGAACUGAGACACGGUCCAGACUCCUACGGGAGGCAGCAGUAGGGAAUAUUCCGCAAUGGGCGAAAGCCUGACGGAGCAACGCCGCGUGAGUGAUGAAGGUCUUCGGAUCGUAAAACUCUGUUAUUAGGGAAGAACAUAUGUGUAAGUAACUGUGCACAUCUUGACGGUACCUAAUCAGAAAGCCACGGCUAACUACGUG
rnacentral:rRNA from 1 species